GAUGAAGAACGCAGCGAAAUGCGAUAAGUAAUGCGAAUUGCAGAUUUCAGUGAGUCAUCGAAUCUUUGAACGCACAUUGCGCCCCCUGGUAUUCCGGGGGGCAUGCCUGUCCGAGCGUCAUUGCUGCCCUCAAGCACGGCUUGUGUGUUGGGCCCCGUCCUCCGAUCCCGGGGGACGGGCCCGAAAGGCAGCGGCGGCACCGCGUCCGGUCCUCGAGCGUAUGGGGCUUUGUCACCCGCUCUGUAGGCCCGGCCGGCGCUUGCCGAUCAACCCAAAUUUUUAUCCAGGUUGACCUCGGAUCAGGUAGGGAUACCCGCUGAACUUAAGCAUAUCAAUAAGCGGAGGA
rnacentral:misc_RNA from 1 species